rnacentral:rRNA from 1 species
GAUGAACGCUGGCGGCGUGCCUAAUACAUGCAAGUCGAACGAACGGACGCUGAGCUUGCUUCUCUGUUGUUAGCGGCAGACGGGUGAGUAACGCGUGUAUCACCUACCUAUCAUACUGGUAUCACUUCGGAAAACCGGCGCUAAUCCCGUAUGAUAUUUUGAUCCGCAUGGUUCAAAGGUAAAAGACGGUCUUGCUGUCACUUAUAGCUGGAUCCGCGCUGCAUUAGCUAGUUGGUGAGGUAACGGCUUACCAAGGCGACGAUGCAUAGCCGACGUGAGAGGGGGAUCGGCCACACGGGAGCUGAGACAGGGUCCAGAGUCCUACGGGAGGGAGCAGUAGGGAAUCUGCCGCAGUGGGCGAAAGCCUGACGGAGUAACGCCGAGUGAGAGAUGAAAGUCUCCGGAGCGUAAAACUCUGUUAUUAGGGAAGAACAUAUGUGUAAGUAAAUGUGCAGAGCGUGACGGUACCUAAUCAGAAAGCCACGGCUAACUACGUG